UGUUUACAUCGUGUUUGAGCGUGGGGAGGCGCGGUUUCAUGGGUUGUGUGAGUGGGUGGGAUUCUUUGACUGCGGUGCUUUAAGAGGAGGUGCGCCCACAUCGGACAGCCUCUGGCGCUGAAGUGCUGGCGUGUCCGGCGACCGCCGGUGGGAGCAGAUAAUGUCCAUCGUCGAUCUGGCCCAGCCCCUGGCCGGCGUACUGUGGCGCCGUUGGCGGCCGCUGCUGGUGCUGCUGACGGCCGCCAGCCUGCUGCUGCUGCUGUACCUGCAG